UACAGAGGUCUCAAGCGUUGUUCGGAUUCAUUGGGCGUAAAGGGCGCGUAGGCUGCGGGGCAAGUCGGGUGUGAAAUCUCAGAGCUCAACUCUGAAACUGCACUCGAUACUGCUUUGCUUGAGGACUGGAGAGGAGAUUGGAAUUCACGGUGUAGCAGUGAAACGCGUAGAUAUCGUGAGGAAGACCAGUGGCGAAGGCGGAUCUCUGGACAGUUCCUGACGCUGAGGCGCGAAGGCCAGGGGAGCAAACGGG
rnacentral:rRNA from 1 species